CCCUCCCCCCCCUGCAAGCCCCGCGCCCCGAGAAGUCCUGCGGCCAAGUUCCAGGCGCUCUGUCCGGCCGUCCCCAGCGUCUGCGGGCGCGGGUGGGGCGGCGACCGUCAGUCACCGGCCUGUGGGCGCGGCGGCGGGGCGGGAACUGCGCGCUGGCCCGGACUCCAGAGUGUGUGUGUCCCGACAGCCCGCGCCGCUCCGUCCCGGGCCUCCCCGACAAGCCCCUGACGCUCCAGCUCGACCUGGCGGAUGCAUUUGGGUUGUUCUGCCGGCACGACCAGAACUGUGCACAGGUCUGAGUCAUGAAGUCCUAACGCAGAGCAGUGAGUGGAGAGUUUGGGAAAAGGCAGGUCAAGGUUCCGGGAAGACACGGCUGACCCCGUGACCCUGCAGAAGUCGAUUUUGGGAAUUAGUAAGAAGGUUUAUCUAGUGGCCUGCCGUUGCCCAGGGUCCACACUGCUUCAUGCUGUCUGAUUUGGGGCUCUCGUUGCUAUCCGCAGGUUUGGCGAGCAGCACUUUCCGUGGGAUGUUUGGCGU